UCCGAUAUUAGAGACGGACUGACCACCGGGCCGUUUCUCCUAAAAACACCCCAAAAACAGCGACCUUUUCUGGCUUCAUGUCCCUGACGGUGUUACCUCCGACACACAUGGACUAAACUUUAACUUUAGGCCCCGUCAACGGAACUUUACCAGAUGCUGAUUUACACUUCAGUCGUUUCGGUUAACUCACCGUUUGAAAACUCGACGUCAGAGGUCCAGAUACUGGUUCGGGUUCCAGAUGGAGUCGGACCCGCUUUAAACAGAAAGGUUGGAGGUUUAAAGACAGAAAGUCUAAGCGGUAAAGUUGGAGCUAAAGGCAGCGGAGGUUUGACUCUCCUGCUGCUGCUGCUGCUGCCAGAAGAGAGAUGAGGUCACUGCGAUAAAAAUAAAAGGAUGUCGUCAUCGAGCUCCAGUCAAAUGAACUCAACAGGCUUCUUAAAGGCGCAGUACAUCUAGAUUUCAGGACGGUGAGCAGACUGAGGACAAAGGACGUGAUGGGAGCAGAAGAACUCUGAAAGGUCUCUCAUUCUGGAGCGAUUAGCACGCAUGGCUAACUGUCACUGAUGAAUGAGGAGGAAACGAUCAAAGCUGCUGCAGAGCUGGAGGAGAGCAACAUGCUAACACAAACUUCAGACUAAUUACACUCUGCUGACAACACAAUGUACAAAACAAAGUGUGUUACGAAACAGAA